rnacentral:tRNA from 1 species
AUUAAUUUAGUACAAAAAUAAGUACAUUUCAUUUACAUUGAAAAAAUCUUUUUUAGAAUUAGUU